GUGUCAGCAGCCGCGGUAAUACGGGGGGGGCAAGCGUUGUUCGGAAUUACUGGGCGUAAAGGGCGCGUAGGCGGCCUGCUAAGUCACACGUGAAAUCCCUCGGCUCAACCGGGGAACUGCGUGUGAUACUGGCGGGCUUGAAUUCGGGAGAGGGAUGUGGAAUUCCAGGUGUAGCGGUGAAAUGCGUAGAUAUCUGGAGGAACACCGGUGGCGAAGGCGGCAUCCUGGACCGAGAUUGACGCUGAGGCGCGAAAGCUAGGGUAGCAAACGGGAUUAGAAACCCCUGUAGUCC
rnacentral:rRNA from 1 species